rnacentral:rRNA from 1 species
GAUGAACGCUGGCGGCGUGCCUAAUACAUGCAAGUCGAGCGAACGGACGAGAAGCUUGCUUCUCUGAUGUUAGCGGCGGACGGGUGAGUAACACGUGGGUAACCUACCUAUAAGACUGGGAUAAAUUCGGGAAACCGGAGCUAAUACCGGAUGAUCUUUUGAACCGCAUGGUUCAAAAGUGAAAGACGGUCUUGCUGUCACUUAUAGAUGGAUCCGCGCUGCAUUAGCUAGUUGGUAAGGUAACGGCUUACCAAGGCAACGAUGCAUAGCCGACCUGAGAGGGUGAUCGGCCACACUGGAACUGAGACACGGUCCAGACUCCUACGGGAGGCAGCAGUAGGGAAUCUUCCGCAAUGGGCGAAAGCCUGACGGAGCAACGCCGCGUGAGUGAUGAAGGUCUUCGGAUCGUAAAACUCUGUUAUUAGGGAAGAACAUAUGUGUAAGUAACUGUGCACAUCUUGACGGUACCUAAUCAGAAAGCCACGGCUAACUACGUG